UAUUUAACAAUCUUUUAUUAAAAAAAAAACGUAAAGCAAAAAGCAUUUGUCAUUGAGCAGUAACAACACAUGUAGUCCAUAUCUUGUUAUGUCGUGUUUUGACAAUAAUUGCUUAAUGAAAUCACUAGCAUUUUAGUAAUCAACUUGAACAUUGCAUCUACUAGCCCAAUAAUGAACAGAUCUUAGCAAGACGGACUUGAGAUAUUCAUCUCCUUUCAAGCUCACUUUGGAAAUUUAAUGUUUUAGAAAUAUGGCUAGGAAUAUCAUCGAGUUUAUCUUCUGCAUCAAGCACAACAUUAAAAUUCCCAACAAAUGAACAAGGUUCAGCCUAUAUAUACAACACCUCUAUUCAAUUAUAGACCAAGCAGAUUUAAAUUUAAAGCAUAGGAAAUACUAUCACAGAGAAUAUUUCCAACAAGUCAAAAUAGUUAAAUACCAUUUCCUAUUAAUUAACAAAUAAAACAAAAAACAAAAAUUUCAUAGCCUCAGCAAACUCCAAAAAAGAAAAGGCCGAAUUAUCUAUUAAUAUCAAGCCUAGCAUCUCUCAUACCCUACUCGAAUCUCCUGCAUUACUUUGCAUUUUAUUUUAUAUAUAACAAAAAGGAAGAAAGCAAACAAUAGCAUAAUAUCGUUCGAAUUUCCCCAAGAGCAAGGUGGAAAAUUCUUGGAGGGAAGGAUGCCGAGAUCUAUUUGAAAACGGCCUCUCUACUCCAGGGUAGAGGUAAGGUCACUGAAUUAUACUAUCCUCCCUAGACCCCGCUAUGUGAGAUUAUACUGGUUGUUUGUUGUUGUAAAAAGCAAUAUUAGCUGCAAUCCAAAACAUGUCUAAAUAGAUGAAUAAUCAUUGCAGAUCUCGUAACAUAAUACCAUCCAAACAAAUAUUACAUUAUUUGAAAUUAGAAACUCAUACCUUGACCAUAAAAAAGAAUCCCAAACAUAAGCCAAACAGAAGCUGGACAGAGAACCCAGCUGAAGCUCAACAAGACAGCAAACAACACGACCGCAACCCACGGGAAAAAUCAGCCUUCGACCGCUUACAUUCAAAAAUCUGGAAUAAUUUGAUUUUCAUCUUGGAAACAACUUGAGAACUCAAAAAUAUGCAGCGACUAAACAAAAUUGGAACUAACUUCAAUUUCCCCUCUUCUUUUGGACUUGUGCUCCAAUUUCUGGAGCAUUUGUUUUCGAUUUAGGGCUUUUUUAAAAAUAAAAAUAAAAAAUUCUUAGCUCUAAUAUGUGCUUCUACUAUGUGUUAGUGAGAAGGGAUGAGUAAGUGUGAGGAAGAAGGAGAAGAAAAUCUCUUAAGAAGAUAGUUUAUUCGGUUCUUCGUAAGGAUGGAAAGAGAAAACGCCGAUUUUUGUUCUAUAUGUUUUUUUGCUAAAAACAACCCCCAUCUUUUCUAGGUCUAAUCUUGCUUUAUAAUAAAAAUAAAGUUUGAGCCAAGAGGGUAUUGGAUAUGAUAUUGGGUUGGGCAAGAAAGAAGGAAAUUGGACCCCUUUUUUUGGAACUGGC
rnacentral:lncRNA from 1 species